GGAUUCGCAGAGGCAUUUUUGGAACAUCUUUGGAAAAAAUUGCAGGAUCCAAGUAAUCCCGCCAUCAUCAGGCAGGCUGCUGGAAAUUAUAUUGGAAGCUUUUUGGCAAGAGCUAAAUUUAUUCCUCUUACUACUGUAAAAUCAUGCCCAGAUCUUUUGGUUAACUGGCUGCACAUAUACCUUAAUAACCAGGAUUCGGGAACAAAGGCAUUCUGCGAUGUUGCUCUCCAUGGACCAUUUUACUCAGCCUGCCAAGCUGUGUUCUACACCUUUGUUUUUAGACACAAGCAGCUUUUGAGCGGAAACCUGAAAGAAGGUUUGCAGUAUCUUCAGAGUCUGAAUUUUGAGCGGAUAGUGAUGAGCCAGCUAAAUCCCCUGAAGAUUUGCCUGCCCUCAGUGGUUAACUUUUUUGCUGCAAUCACAAAUAAGUACCAGCUCGUCUUCUGCUACACCAUCAUCGAGAGGAACAAUUGCCAGAUGCUGCCAGUCAUUAGGAGUACCACUGGAGGAGACUCAGUGCAGACCUGCACAAACCCACUGGACACCUUCUUCCCCUUUGAUCCCUGUGUGCUGAAGAGAUCUUCAACUUGCUGCUGAGCUUGGGAAGACAUUACUGGAUCGGAACACAGAGUUGGAGGACUCUCUUCAGCAGAUGUAUACAACCA
rnacentral:sRNA from 1 species